UUGAGUUUUAAGAACAAUGAAGAGUACCACGCGUUGUGGCCGCCAUUAGAGUUGGCUAUGCUUAAUUGUGGCGCAGAAAUAAUUGAAGCCUCGUUGAAAGUAUGGUGCAUGUGCCCGGCAUCACAACAUGGCUUGUCACAGCUUAUCUGUGAAAAAUUCGGAAUUGGUGUCUGGGAGCUUCCUUCUACUGGCAUGGUGUCAAUCGUUGCCUGCCAACAGCAUGGUAUCUUUUUCUAAAAUCGACAUUUCUAUGCUAAUUUCACCGUUUUCUAUUUCAAGUGAACAAUGUCUUGGGAGCCAAGUAAAUGGUCAGCUUGUGUAGGACUGAGCAGCCGAAAGCUGUGCGUAGAGAAACAAUAAGGGUUUCAGCAAAAGGAGGAGAAAUAUAUUCAAAGAUACUCAGAAUCAUGCUAUAGGAGUCGGGACCUAACAAAUGCUGUGUUGUGUAGUGAGCAUUCUGCAGCGAAAGUAGAUUCAACAAAAGACUUGAUAAAUGCAACAAUUGAAAAUCAGAUGGUUGGUGGAAUCCUUUGUUUGGUCAACAACAGACUGCCAAGUAGUCAGUGUGAGUCAACCUUGCUGCUGGAGCAUAAAUGUUAGGGGACACAAAGAAGAUGUUGGAAAAUAACUGCUUGUGGGUGAUGAGGCCAAAAAAAAGAAAAUUUAUUGUUUGGGAUAAUUAAAAAUGGAGCAGAGAACUAUCCCAAGUUGGGAUUUGGAAAUAGGAACACAUUAUGACCCAGGAUUGUGACAUAGUCGGUGUUCAAUCCGCGUGUUUUCCCCAAUGGUCAGAGUCUAGUUGGAAGGGUUAGAAACAGAAUUGGAGAUGAGCAAGACCAAAUACUAAUGAAACAUACCAUGAAGUAUACCAAGUACGUAAUAUAUAUGGUGUACUUCAUCGGCAAAGGAAGAAAAUUGUAAAACAUUACCGCCAUCUAGCAUAUGGGAGAAGCAAUAUGUAGAUUAUUUGAGGAAGCACCAUGUAAAAUUUUGCAAUUGGAGCCCAAAUUACUCUACGGAAAAUACGAAAAGAGGUGGGGAAUGUAGGAUGGAUAAAAGUGUUUUUCCCAGUCGUAAGAUGGUGGUACUGUGCCAUACAGUACUAAGAACUGCCGCCAUAACGUUACCCAUCUUCUCAGGUUGGAGAAGUAACAAGUCCAUUAUUAUGCCAUGCUGUUCCAGGAAUGUCUGCCAAACAGAUUAAUCCACCCCUGGAUGUUAUAAAGUACAGUGUAGCUGUGUUUCAAAGAGAGCAUACGUGAUCAAAAGACAAGGAAAUAGAAAGCUGGGGAAGACAAACAUUUUGUCAACAAGGUUUUCAUAGCUAGCAGACCGAUUAUUAUAUGGGUCAAAUCCAAUAAUCUACGAGUCGCAGAUGAACGACUACGUGCAGAAUUAAGUAAGGG